rnacentral:rRNA from 1 species
UGGGGAAUCUUGCGCAAUGCGCGAAAGCGUGACGCAGCAACGCCGCGUGCGGGAAGACGGCCUUCGGGUUGUAAACCGCUUUCAGUUGGGACGAAGCUCUGCCGGUGAAUAGCCGGUUGGAGUGACGGUACCUUCACAAGAAGCCCCGGCUAACUACGUGCCAGCAGCCGCGGUAAUACGUAGGGGGCAAGCGUUGUCCGGAAUCAUUGGGCGUAAAGCGCGUGUAGGCGGCCCGGUAAGUCCGCUGUGAAAGUCCAGGGCUCAACCCUGGGAUGCCGGUGGAUACUGUCGGGCUCGAGUCCGGAAGAGGAGUGUGGAAUUCCUGGUGUAGCGGUGAAAUGCGCAGAUAUCAGGAGGAACACCAAUGGCGAAGGCAGCACUCUGGGACGUGACUGACGCUGAGACGCGAAAGCGUGGGGAGCAAACAG